rnacentral:rRNA from 1 species
UACGUAGGGGGCAAGCGUUGUCCGGAUUUAUUGGGCGUAAAGAGCGUGUAGGCGGCCAGGUAGGUCUGCUGUGAAAACUCGAGGCUUAACCUCGAGCUGUCGGCGGAAACCAUCUGGCUAGAGUCCUGAAGAGGAGAAUGGAAUUCCCGGUGUAGCGGUGAAAUGCGCAGAUAUCGGGAAGAACACCCGUGGCGAAGGCGGUUCUCUGGGACGGUACUGACGCUGAGACGCGAAAGCGUGGGGAGCGAACAGG